GCUGUCUCAUGUUUUGUUUCAUUUAGCCCUUUUUUUAUACAAUUCUUAGCAGAGAUAUGGCAUGGUGUCAGAUCCCGGAUUUUCAUGCAACCUUCCAGAAUUUUAGCGAUAUUGCACCAUUCUCGAAAGAUAUAUUUUGUUUUCAUUUCCAUAGGUAAAAACUAUAUAACCAUCUCUUAUAGCCGAAACCCAUUUCGAUUAUUUGGAUACAUGGAAGGU
rnacentral:lncRNA from 1 species